AAAGCUUUCGAAUUUGGAAAAUUCCACAAGUAUGUUCUACUUCCCUACCAUUGAGUUUAUGUUCUUCUGGUUUUUGGGUUUGCUCUCCUUUUUUUGCAGAACCUAGAUGGGAUCGGCCCUAUUAUAUGUUAACUGCUCUCCAUCGAUUCUCUGUCAUUGGAAUUUUGUGACCGUUCAUCAUCACUUCAUUAACCAGCAUACUUGGUGGAGGUGAAAUUCGGUGUGUAUUAUAUUUUCUAUUUUCAGGCCUUUUAAGGGUGUUAUUUCAGCUUACGUCUUCUUAAUGGAUUGCCAAGACUCGUUUAAUUUGACAUCCUCCAAUUCUUUGGUGAUUUCUGUUGUCGGCAGUUUGUUCGUCGGAGUUUCUGGGUUGUGUUUGUUAGAUAUGGGUUGCUUUCGGUUUUACCUGACGUGCUUUCUGUUUUUUUAAUGUUGAUGACAAUCUGUUUCUUGGCUGCAAGUUUAUAAUUUGUCUGUCCUAUUUCUGCCUAAACUGGUUUGAUUAAUUAGUAAUUAUAUCAUCAAAGUGCUGUUUUUUGGACAGAUUUCCCGUAACCGAACCAUUUUUUUGUCCUUUGAGAGCAAAUUUGGAUAUCAUUCGUACUUGCCAAGAUUAGUUAAUAGGACACACUGAUGAAUCAUGGUUAACUUUAUUAUGCGAAAAAAAAAAAACAUGGAGAUUAUAUAGUUCUCUCAGAAAUGCUCGGUCGGCUUUUCUCAUUUUUCUGCACACUGACAUUAGUAAAAUAUCUGAAUAUGCAUAUUGAACAACUAGUUGCCUGUUUCAUCUGCAAGUUCUGUUUGAUAACUUCAACAAUAGGCAAAUCCAAUUACGUUUAGCUUCUUGAAUUUUCUUAGCAGGAAUUAAGGUAAUCAUAAUGACAUAUAUAGCUCUACGCUCCUUUUAUAAUUGAAUAAUCUAUAAUCUUUAAUUUAUUAACUUUUUCUAAUCUUGAAUAGGAUUAUUUAAAUUAUAAUUUAUAAUCUAUGGAUGAUCAUCACUCAUCAGCUAGAUUUUAUCUGUUCAUAAUAUCUUGGCUAGAAGUCACGACGGUAACCUUAUGAUACGCUCACACUAAGGAUAAAAUUCCUUUAUCUCUUACUUCUUUCUGCUACCUAUAAUCUAUUUUAUAUGUUCUUCCUCUAGUUUUUUAGGAUUAGUGAUCCAGAUUUAUAUAAUUCAUAGAUUUAUAUAAUUAUAAUAUACCCAUCUGAAUUUUUAUUUUUAUUUUUCCAUCAACUUGCCGAAUAUAAAGUUUAUUUUCAAUAAAAGUGGCAUUUUAAAUCUGUUUCUUGCAUUCUUCUUAAUUAACAUGCCAUCCUAGGUUCACUAGUUUCUCAAGUCCCUAUUUUUCCGAAAAUUCACUUUUCUGAGUAAUCUAGUAGUUAUUUUAUUUGAUAAAAUUUGUUUCCUCUUGGAUUUGUCUCUGAUACGACUUUGGUAAUUUUUUUCACAUAAGGUAUUUCCUUUAUCAGUAAUGUUUUCCACAAUUGAGGGAAAUGAAUGAUUCAGAAGAGUAAGAAUGUUUUACUAGUAAAGCUGUUAUCACAUCUACUAACCUUUGUGAUUUUUAGCUGCUUAGUGAUUAACUAAAUUACUUAUCAAUUUGACCUACUUGUUUGCCAGUAUGAAAAUUCAUAAAAAAUAUGUUAUAUGAAUCAAAAUAUUUCUCAGCCUUAAUUAAUAUUUGUCGUCUGGAAUGGUAUGUACAAUUUCCAUGCUUAUAUCUAUGUGUGGAUUAUGUGUGUGUUUUAGUGUUGGUAGUUGUAUAUAUAGGUUUAUUCUUGUAACUCCGCCUGUGCCUGCAAUAUUUUAUUUGCUCAGCACAGCCGGUCCCAAGCCCGGGUAAAGGAGGAGGGCACAGAAAAUCUAACUGUGAAAUUUUCCCAUUUUAAUUUUCGUUAGAAAUGGAAUUUUAGUCUUUGCGUCAUGCAUGAAAUCGAUGUUGAAUAAGUUGUAAAUCAUAAUAGCCCGUAAUCUUUGUUUUCUUAGAUCUCGUUCUCUUGUUUUUUUUUUUUUUUUUUCUUUUUUUUUUUUUUUUCCCUUUGGCGAUUUACUAAAACUGGUCAUAGGUGGAAUUCGUGUUAUUGAUUUUUAUAAGUGUUCUUAAUUUUUAAAUUCUGAAAUUUUUGGAGCUGAAAUUUCAAAAGGUUUGUACUUCUCAGUUGUAUAAUUUUUUUUUUCCUCUCUUAUCCGAUUCCUGUCUUAUUGUGGUUCUGUUAAGUUUUAUUUGGGUGUUUUCGACUUUUCGCCGGUUUAACAAUUUCUCCUCUUUGCGAAAGGGUUUGAUUGUGCUUUUCUGAGAGGGUUUGAUUGUGCUUUUCUGCGGUGAUUUUGAUGUGGCAAUGUCGGGAAAUAAAGAUGACACAAUAGUGGCAUUUUAAAUCUGUUUCUUGCAUUCUUCUUAAUUAACAUGCCAUCCUAGGUUCACUAGUUUCUCAUGUCUCUAUUUGUCCGAAAAUUCACUUUUCUAAGUAAUCUACUAAAACGAAUGAUGACAUUGAUAUUCUCUUGGGCUUUAAACUAGAGGCUGCAAAUCUUAUUCAUAACUGAACUUUUGCCUACUAUAUGUCGAGAAUUUAGACUCUUCUUUUACUUGUUGGUUAUUAACUUUUUAUCUUUGGGUGGCUCGCUUUUCCGGAGCUGUGAUUUUUUAUUUUUCUUUUGCAGUCUUCAGUUAAUCCCUAUCAUGAAUUUAUGUGGUUCCUGGAGAGUGUUUUAUAAUAUUAACUUGACUCGUGUACUUCACUACAAAAUAUGAGAUCAUGACUUGCAAUAAGACCCCGCCUUGUGUCUUCAUGUACGGUGUUCUUUGGUUUCUUCGCAAGGUUUCUGCACCGAGUUUUGUUUCUUGCCUUAGAUUUUGAAAGCAAUCGUAAAAGUGUUGGAUGUUAUUUCUAUCGGAUUUUCUCUGUUAUUAUGCACUGGAAUUGUCUGUGCUAUAGUUGGUCAGAUAAUGCACUACUGGUGUGGAACGUGCUUCUUCUGCAGAUCAAGUGAGUAGUAUUCUUUAUUGUGGCCUUGAAGAUCUCUUUUUGGUUUUAUAUGCAUUGAGUAAUAUGCAUCUACGAAGAUUUGGUUUUUUCUUCCUGGCAGUUUUUUCUACACAAGCUAAGUUGGCACUAUGCAUCUCAGAAUAAUAAACCUCGUUCAGUUGCCCUUUUUGGAUUUCGUCGUGUAGGAAUUUGUUGAUGGUAUGAUACAUUAGACUUAACAUCACUACUGUUGUCAAGUGGCUGCUGUAUUUGAAGUUGACUGUUAGGGCCUUGGUUUCUGCUCGUAUGUUAUGAGGAGAUAUUAGAUUUGUUGCUAUGCUGUUUUGAGGAUGUUUAAAAUCUAUUGAAUAUGCUUUGGAUUACCAUUCUGCACAGUUCUUGGUCACUUAAUCUUGAGAAUUUUCAAGUGUGUGAAAUUAUCUUUUGCAGAUUGUGAGUUAAUGUUCUUAUCUAACACUGGUAAUAUGCUAAAGGGAUGCAUUUUUUUCAAGUCUCGGUGAAUUUAUUUGAUUAAAGGUUUGUUUAUGCGUAAAUGUGCAAGUAUUAGUUACCUUAUUUGAUAAAAUUUAUGUCCUCUUGGAUUUGUCCCCGAUACGACUUUGGUAAUUUUGUUAACAUGAGGUAUUUCCUUUAUCAGUAAUGUUCUCCACAAUAAUUAGAAGAUAGAAACGGGAAAUGAAUGAUUGGAACGAGUACAAUUUUUUUACAUGUAACUAAACUUUUAUCCAAUCUACUAUCCUUUGUGAUUUUUAUCCCAUCUAUUAUCGUAUAUGAAUCAAACUAUUUCUCAGCCUUAAUAUUUGUUGUCUGGAAAGGUAUGUACAAUUUGCUUGCUUAUAUCUAUGUGUGAUUAUGUGUGUGUUUUACUGUUGGUAGUUGUAUAUAGGUUUAUUCUUGUAACUCCGCCUGUGCCUGCAAUAUUUUAUUUGCUCAGCACAGCCGGUCCCAAGCCCGGGUAAAGGAGGAGGGCCGAGAAUAUCUAACUUUGAAAUUUUCCCAUUUUUCUAAAUUUUCGUUAGAACUGGAAUUUUAGUCUUUGUGUCAUGCAUGAAAUGGAUGUUGAAUAAGUUCUGAAUCAAAAUAACUCGUAAUGUUUGUUUUCUUAGAUCUCGUCCUCUUGUUUGUUUGUUUAUUUAUUUAUUGUUUUUUUUUCUCUUUUUGGCAAUUCACAACUGGUCAUCUGUGGAAUUCAUGUUAUUGAUUUUUAUAAUUAUAAGGUGUUCUUAAUUUUUAGAUUCUGAAUUUUUUUGGAACUGGAAUUGCAUACGGUUUUGUACUUGCGGAAAAAUCCGAUUUUUUUCUAUUCAAUUUUUUUUGGUAGAGGUCGAUAUUGAACCCAUUGUCUUUCCCUGAUCUCUCAUUCUCAAUGAAUAUAUAUGAUUUCUUAUCCACAAAAAAAAAAAAAAAAAAGGGUCUCUUUUGAACCAAUAGUGUACUGUACGUGUCUCAUGAUCAUGCAAUUUUCGGUCGGAUCAAUGUUUUCUCUUGUCAGGGUAGAAGAAAGUGCUUCGAGUUUGAGUAUCUCCCACACUGCUUAUAUGAAGAAUCUUCUCCCUGUUUUACAUAAGCCGAUAAAAGUUUGAAAAUCCUACAAAAUCUUAACGAUCGGAAACUAUAAUACUCAAACAAGGGUCUCUUUCUUACGCUUCGCAUCCGUCGAACAACCCUGCCCAACCACUCAUAUAACACACACACCCCAUUUUACACACACACACACACACUCUGUUUUACACACACACUGUUUUACACACACACACACUGUACGUGUCUCAUGAUCAUGAAAAUUCUUCGGCAACCUUUUGAUGUCAAUUUUGAUCCCAAAAAUUAUAAAAUCAAAUUUUGGUAGAAAAAUAUGAUAAUCACAAAAAUAAUAUUUCUACAAAAAUGGAGUUCAAAUUCUGCCCACAUAAUAAAUUAGCAAUGGACUAAUUAAAGUAUCAUUACACAUUGCAAUAGAAAAGAAAGAGCAUAUAACUGAAUCAUUAUAAUUGAAUAUUAAAUUAUAGGUUUUGUCAAAUAGAUAAAGUAAAAUUGGAUUUGUACAAGUCAAUACAUAAGGGUAUUUAUAAAGAUACCGUAAUAAAAAUAAUAAAAAAAAAACUGGUAAAUAAAACUUGGAAUCUAUCUCAAAAAGAAAAAAAAUUUUGAGGAAAAUUUGACAAUUACAUAAGUGUCAUUACAAUGAGCUUAACUUUUUUGGGGUCAUUAGUAAUAAACCCUUCAUACAGAUAAUAAAUGGUGAUAUGUCUACCCCUUAAAUCUUUCUUUGUGAUAACCCCUAGAAUUUGUAUUCACAAUUCUACCCUUAUGUCAAUUAGCAUAAUUAGUCUUGGUUAUUCAUUUUUUUCUAUAAUCUAGUUCCUAAAAAUCUGCUUCCAAAUUCCUAAAAAUUUGCUACCAAAUAAAAAAAAUGAUUUUUUUAUAUUUUAUUAUUUUCAGAUUUUUUAGUCAUUUUUUAUUUAUUUUUAUUUUUUAAUAUUUUAUUUAAUAAAAAUAUAUUUUUUUAAUUUUUUAAAUUUUUUUUAGUUGAAUUUUUUUUCUCAACAUAUUUACAACUCCGAAUAUGACUAUAGUUGAAUAUGACUAUAUGAUGUAGACAUAUUCUUUCUUUACAUUGCAUUUUUUUACAUUUUCAACUUAAAAUUUCCGAUUAUAUAGUGUGGUAUAGUCAUGUUGACCUUAAUUAUAUAAAACAACGAAGAUUCUCUAUUGUUUACGAAAACAAUCCUUAAAAUCCACAAAAAAAAAAUAACAAUUUUGAAUCUAGUUAUUAGAAGUCAACUUGAAAACGAGAAGAUAAAACAUAUUCGAAUAUGACUACAAUCAUAUUCAACAAUAGUCAUAUUCGAAAAAUACAUAAAUAUGACUAUAGUCAUGUUACUGCUGUUGUUUCUAAAAACUGUAUUUUCAGAUCUGAAAAAAAAAUCGAAAAAGACAUAAAUAAAGAUAGAAAAAUAACGAAAGAGAGCCAUGGGGAGUCGACGACAACGACGAUGGUGGCGGUGGUGAAGGAAAGAGAGUGAAAGAGGCGGCGACGGUGGUGGUGGACAAAUCUGGAAAAAGAAAUAAAAAAAUGAGAAAGAUAACGAAAAAGAGAGAAAGAGCCUUCCGUGGAAACGAAGGAGGAGGCGGUGGCAACGAGCGGCGACGAUAAUGGUUGUGUACAAGUCUAUGUGGAGGCGAUGGUGGUGUAAAGAGAGAGAAAUCGAGAAAAACAACGAACACGAGAAAAUAAUAAAUCACUACUCGAAUGAAUCAACAAUAGUCAUAUUCGAAUCAGAGUAGUCACGUUGAUGCUGCUGUUUCAUAUGUGGAGAGAAAAAAAAGGAAAAAUGUGGUUUUAGUCUCUAAUUUGUUUCUUUUUAGAACAACAAUCUAUGUUGUUGGGUGGGCUUGCUGUCGACUGGAUUUAAGAGACUGAUUUUGGGGCAUAAUUGUUUGGAGGAUUUUUUGGUGCUGUUAAUCAACAUUUAUCAAAAUAUUAAAUAUAUAUUUUUUUAAUUUAUUUGAAUAGUAAUUGGGGGCAUAUAAAAUAUUUUGGAUCGAUUGAAUUUAUGUCAAAUAUCAAUUACAAAACAUGAAUUUAUCAACAAGUCAAAAUCUAAUGAAUGAGUUUUAUCAAAUAACUCCUAUUUUUUUUUGGCUCUAUACUAACCGUAAAAGGCAUAUGAAGGAGUUUUCUUAAAUAAUCCCUCAAAUAUAAUUGGAGUUGUAAAUUACAAUUUCAAGAGAGUUUUAGUGGACGAUUAUUAUUAUUAUUAUUAUUAUUAUUAUUAUUAUUAUUAUUAUUAUUAUUAUUAUUAUUAUUAUUAUUAUUAUUAUUAUUAUUAUUAUUAUUAUUAUUAUUAUUAUUAUUAUUAUUAUUAUUAUUAUUAUUAUUAUUAUUAUUAUUAUUAUUAUUAUUAAUAAGAAUAAAAUAGUAAUAUGAGUAACCGAGAAGGAUAAGUACUCUUCUCUGACCGUCCGAUGAGAUUAAUCUCAGCCGUCCACUCGUAACCGACUCUUCUAUAAAUACCCAUCCCCUCAUACAUUAGAGUUUGGUUCCGUCGUCUUCCUAGAGAUUAUAUAUGUAUCGUAUGUUUUUUCUCUCUUUCUCGCUAUAUCGUCUGAUUGUGGUCCUGAUUUGAUUUUAUUUUGCCGGUCUGAAAAUCGGAUCGUCAUCAAUUCGCCGCCGUAUCUUUCCAAAGCCGUUUGAUUGUGAUUCUGAAUUGGUUUUCUUUUGGUGAUUUUUUGAUUCGGCUGGGUAUUUAGGUAUGGUGUUCGGUUAUGCGAUUGGAUUGUGUUAGUGUUCGGUUAUGCGAUUGGAUUGUGUUUUAUCUUGCUAGGGUUUGGUAAUCGGCUGGUUUGAAAAAGAUUCUUCGGCGAAGAAAGCGCUUUGAAAAAAGGUAACGUUUCUUCCUUUUAAAUCGCCUUGGAUUAAAUCUCCUAUUUGUCUCAUCUGAAGAACCUUCUCUCUGUUCUGCUUGUUAAAAUUUGAUUCUCCUUAUGAUAUAUAAAGUUUCUUUCUCUCUCUCUCACUCCCUCAUCCUCCUUAUUUCUCUAACUGUAGAUCGCACAUCUUUUAAAUCACUAUUUGGUACUUUGUGUUUUGUGGUUUUAGGAAUGGUUUCAUCUUUAUUUUAUGGACCUAAGCUAACCCGUGCAACUACUUGAACUUAUGCACACCUGGAUUAUGUGGAUAUGAUCGCCAAUUGCUUAAGAUAGAGAUCUCGAUUAGAUCUGAUGACAGGAAGAUAAUUUAUUUUGUGAUUUAAUUAGCUUAUGGAUCUUUCUUUUGUUUCUGAUUGUGUAAUAUGUUGGUAUAUUCUUAUGUAAUCAUCGUCCUUCUCAUUCAAUUUUCAGAUUUCUUGUUUAUAUUACCAUAUGUUUUUAAGAUUUCCUGUUCUUAUUUGGAUGAUUUUGAUACGGCAAGUGGUAUGAUGUUCCUAUUUUUUCUGUUUUCCGAUUGUUUGAGUUUUGAUUAUGUUCUCUCUGUUCGGUGUUCGAUGUUCGAUGGUCCUUUGAUUUGGUUUUCUUAUAUGAGAUGGUAUAGACUUCGACGGAUAUAGUUAAAAUAUGAUUUUUUUGUAGAAGACAGAGCUCCAAGUUUGAGUAUUUUCUCCUUAUCCUGGUUUUGCUUUUAUGACAGUUUUGUGUGAAGUCUUUAGAAGUUUUGUUACCACGUAAGAUGUUUGCUCGCAAUAUGAUAUUCCUCGACCUUCGGCCGUUGCUUUCGACUGUGUUGUUCCAUAUAUUGUUCAAUCUCGCUUUCUCUCCCUCAUCCUCCUUAUUUUGGACCCUUUGGACAGGAUUACCUAUUGACUAAGCGGGAAGAUAGUUUAUUUAGCCGUCCUGCCUGACAGUCAGGCAGUACCCUUUUUUUGUGGCUUAAUACUCUCUACAUGCUUACAGUCUAAUUAUCGGGAGCCUCUGUUAUAUGUUUCUUUUCUUUGCCUUAUUGUCUAGGUCUUCUUUGAAUGAUAAUUUAUUUGGCGAGGUAUUAAGGUUUGCUUUCAAUGAUAGCAUCAUUUUCUCUAAACUUAAAGUGACCUCUCGUGAUAUGGCGCGAGUAAGGGCCACAAAAUGCCCGUAGUUGGUGAGUCUAUCCACCACUAUCCAAAUAGCAUCCUUUCUUCUAGACUUAAGAGUGACCUCGGUGAUAUGGCGCGAGUACGGGCCCGUACUUGGUGAGCCUAUCCACCACUAUCCAAAUAGGAACCUUUCUUCUAGACUUAAGAGUGACCUCCGGUGAUAUGGCGCGAGUAUGGGCCCGUACUUGGUGAGCCUAUCCACCACCAUCCAAAUAGCAUCCUUUCUUCUAGACUUAAGAGUGACCUCCGGUGAUAUGGCGCGAGUAUGGGCCCGUACUUGGUGAGCCUAUCCACCACUAUCCAAGUAGCAUCCUUUCCUUUAGACAUAAAAGUGACCUGAUAUGGCGCGAGUAUGGGCCCGGGCCCCGUACUUGGUGAGCCCUAUCCCCCACUAUCCAAAUAGGCUAAGGGUCAAGGCAUCAGUACUUGCAGAAAGGGUGUGUCUUUUUUUUUUUUUUUUUUUUUUUUUUUCCACUAUCCAAGUAGCAUCCUUUCCUUUAGACAUAAGAGUGACCUCCGGUGAUAUGGCGCGAGUAUGGGCCCGUACUUGGUGAGCCUAUCCACCACUAUCCAAGUAGCAUCCUAGACUUAAGAGUAUCCUCCGGUGAUAUGGCGCGAGUAUGGGCCCGCACUUGGUGAGCCUAUCCACCACUAUCCAAAUAACAUCCUUUCCUCUAGACUUAACAGUGACCUUCCGUGAUAUGGCGCGAGUAUGGGCCCGUACUUGGCGAGCCUAUCCACCACUAACCUAAUAGUAGCCUUUCUUCUAGACUUACGAGUGACCUCCGGUGAUAUGGUGCGAGUAUGGGCCCGUACUUGGUGAGCCUAUCCACCAUUAUCCAAGUAGCAUCCUGCACUUAAGAGUAACCUCCGGUGAUAUGGCGCGAGUAUGUGCCCGUACUUGGUGAGCCUAUCCACCACUAUCCAAGUAGCAUCCUAGACUUAAGAGUAACCUCCGGUGAUAUGGCGCGAGUAUGGGCCCAUACUUGGUGAGCCUAUCCACCACUAUCCAAAUACAUCCUUUCCUCUAGACUUUAGAGUGACCUCCGGUGAUAUGACGCGAGUAUUGGCCCGUACUUGGUGAGCCUAUCCACCACUAUCGAAAUGGCAUCCUAGACUUAAGAGUAACCUCCGGUGAUAUGGCGCGAGUAUGGGCCCGUACUUGGUGAGCCUAUCCACCACUAUCCAAAUAGCAUCCUAAACUUCAAAGUAACCUCCGAUGAUAUGGCGCGAGUAUGGGCCCGUACUUGGUGAGCCUAUCCACCACUAUCCAAGUAGCAUCCUAGACUUAAGAGUAACCUCCGGUGAUAUGGCGCGAGUAUGGGCCCGUACUUGGUGAGCCUAUCCACCAUUAUCCAAGUAGCAUCCUUUCCUCUAGACUUAAGAGUGACCUCCGGUGAUAUGGCGCGAGUAUGGGCCCGUACUUGGUGAUCCUAUCCACCACUAUCCAAAUAGCAUCCUUGCUUCUAGACUUAAGAGUGACCUCCGGUGAUAUGGCGCGAGUAUGGGCCCGUACUCGGUGAGCCUAUCCACCACUAUCCAAGUAGCAUUCUUGACUUAAGAGUAACCUCCGGUGAUAUGGCGCGAGUAUGGGCCCGUACUUGGUGAGCCUAUCCACCACUAACCAAAUAGUAGCCUUUCGUCUACACUUGAGAGUGUGUGAUAUGGCGCGAGUAAGGGCCACAAAAUGCCCGUACUUGGUGAGCCUAUCCACCGCUAUCCAAAUAGCAUCUUUUCUUCUAGACUUAGGCAGCCCCACAAUGAAAUCCAUGGUCAUGUAAGACCAUGCCUUCAAAUCUUCGUUCAGCCGUCCUAAAAAAGCCCUAAUGUAAUAUUCUUCAGUUAAGUUUCUGUAAGAUCCCCCCAUGUGUCUUUAUGUAUGGUAUUCUUUAGUUUCUUGACAUGGUUCUUUCCCAAAGUAUUAUUUCUUGCCUUAGAUUUUGGGAGCAGUCGUGAAAGUGUUCGGAUGUUAUUUCUAUCGUUUUUAUUGUCAUUCUGCAAUGGAAUUGUUUGUGAUUUUAGUUGGUCAGAUAAUGCACUACUGGUGUGGAACGUGCUGCAUUUGCAGAUCAAGUGAGUAGUUAUUCUGAAGAUCUCUUUUUGCUUUAUAAAUCUUGAAGUGGUCUUAUAUGCAUUGAGCUAUUUUAGUCUAUGAAGAUUUGGUUCUUUGUCCUGGCAAUUUUUCUACACACUCUUGAAGUUGGGACUAUGCAUCCCAGAAUAGUAAACCUGGUUCAGUUGCCCGUGUUGGAUUUCGCACUUGUAGGAUUUGUUGAUGUUAUGAUACAUUUGUGGCUGCCGUUGGGGCCUCGGUUUCUGCUCGUAUUUUGUGAUUCUUAUGAGGAGACUUUAGAUUUGCUGCUCUGCUGUUUUGAGGAUGUUUAUAAUCUAUUGAAUAUGCUUUGGAAUACCAUUCUGCAGUCUGCACAGUUCUUUGUCAGUUCUUCAUCGUGAUUUGUACUACGUGGGAAUUUUCUAGUGCGAGAAAUUUUUAUUUGCACAUUGUAAGUUAAUGUUUUUAUCUAGUACUGGUAAUAUGUUAAAGUGAUGCAUUUUUCAAGUCUCGAUGAAUUUAUUUGAUUUAAGAUUUAGCUUUGCGUAAAUGUGUAAGUAUUAGUUGCCUUAUGUGAUAAAAUUUAUUUCCUCUUGGACUUGUCCUCGGUACGACUUUGGUAAUUUUUUACACAUGAGGUUUUUCCUUCAUCAGUAAUGUUCGCCACAAUAAUUAAAAGGAAAUAAAAAAGGGAAAUGAAUGAUUGAAACAUUACGAAAGUUUUGUUUAGUAACUAAGCUUUUAAUAGUUGUUGUCUGGAACGGUAUGUACAAUUUGCUUGCUUAUAUCUAUCUGUGAUUAUUUGUGUGUUUUAGUGUUGGUAGUUGUAUAUAUAGGUUUAUUCUUGUAACUCCGCCUGUGCCUGCAAUAUUUUAUUUGCUCAGCACAGCCGGUCCCAAGCCCGGGUAAAGGAGGAGGGGUUUUGAGGUUUUGGGGUUUGCUCGCCUCACAACCCAGUUGUUUUGGGGUUUUGGGAUCUGAGGUUUAAGUCUUGUCUAAAGCAUCUAAUGCGAUCAAGGCACAUUUUGUGAUUUAUUUAUUUCAUAGGACUUCUGUUCCCUUUUGUGUGUUAUAACCUUCUGAUGUUUCAUUUUGUCUUGUGCUUUCUGAUCUGUCCUUGAUUUUUAUUCUCUACUUGAGACAUAGGUUUACUUACCGUUUUGCAUUUUAAUGCUUCUUGUGUAAUUGGAAUCAUCCAGGUUCAG
rnacentral:lncRNA from 1 species